rnacentral:lncRNA from 7 species
CUCCAUUGGCCCUUGAAUGCUAGCCACCGCCGUGACUGUGUCAAGUGAGGGAGAAGGUUGUGGCCACCAUUGAUCCGACCUCCUCUAAGCCAUCGAUGAGUAGAGAAAAACAGUGAGCGCCUCCUCUAGUGCACAGCCGCCCCUAACGCUGCCGCUCACGCAACACCGGCCCACGCUCUGCGCGCGCCCCUGCCUUUAUGCACCUGUUGCCGCACCUGCUAUCGUCUUCCCGGUGCGUGGAGCCGCCAGCCGCUGCGGGGGUUCGCGCGCCGCCGUCGCGCGUCCAUAGGGAAGCGGGUGUGGCUGGGCUCGCACCUCGUCAAGGUUCGCCGUGCACGCAUCAGAAUUGGGGGUGGCUGGAUCGGAGUCUCGACGUGGACCUCCUCGGCGAGCAGUGGUUGAGUCUGCUCGGUCUACCGCUUUACCAGGGGUGAGUUUCUCCUACCUGCUGAUUGGCGAGCUAGAUGAGCGGCUGAGGCGUCCGGGCGGUAGUUAGGGCUCGAAUGGCGAGCUCGGAAUCGCUCGCUGUCGCGUCUAUGACGCUCGGCCGCGGCGAAAUGGCUGAG